rnacentral:lncRNA from 1 species
UAUGGUAGUUAAGAUCAAUAAACAAUGCAAAAUAUAAAUAUAUUAAGUAAUGUGAAUUUUUAGAUUUUAUAAACUAAUACGUUUUUGUAACUUAUAAAUAUAAUAGCUAUUUAUGCUCUGUCUAGAAAAGUCUAAUUUUACAGAAGCUGAAUAUACAUAAACUAGGGAAUACCUAUAUGCUACUGGGUUGCUUGUGCAUACUCUUAAAUGUAAGUAUAAAGGGAAAUAACAAAAUCUUAUAUCAUUACUUUUUCUUCUGGAGUUCAAAAAGUUUUAUUCUUGAUUCUGGAAGUCAUCUUAUCAGUCUGUUGCCACAUACCCAUACAAUAUAUAUCUUCUUAAUAUCUUGUAACUUCUGCUCUCAAAUCGGAGCCUAUAUUUCUUGAAGGUAAGACCAUCUUGUUUGUUGCUCCCAUUUUUGAAAGAUCAGAAUUGGGAGUGUUCUUUUAUUCAAAUUAAAUAAAAUGCCUCAUAACUAAAUACAAUAGAAAAGUAAAUAAACAAACUAAAGAUUGGGUUUAAUGCCUCACAAUCUUAUCAUUUAUCUAUACACACAAACAUAUAUAUGCAUGCAUGCACAUAUACAAGAGGAAGUCAAAAAGUUCUUACCCUCACGAUGUUGUAUGUGUACUAUAAAUGAUAGAUUACUGUCUUACUAAUAUGCAUGCCUUUUUUUGUCUUGAUAAGAUCCUGUUUAACUGGUGUUAGAAAUGUGAUAGUAGAUGAUGAUGUCAUGCUGGACAUUGAGUUAUGAUACAGUUUCUUCAACUUCAAGAAAAAACUGCACAAAUAAUCCAUGAAAAGAUGCCAGCUAUAUAUGAUGAGGAAUGACUCCCAUCAUAUGAGACUGUGAAAUGAUAGAAAUGAGAAUUCAAAUGUGAUUGUACCAGCCUACAGG